GUCUGGGUGGCUCAGAUGGUUAAGUGUCCAACUUCAGCUUGGGUCAUAAUUUCAUUGUUCGCAGGUUCAAGCCCUGCGUCAGGCU
rnacentral:tRNA from 1 species